rnacentral:rRNA from 1 species
AAACUAACAAGGAUUCCCCUAGUAACUGCGAGUGAAGCGGGAAAAGCUCAAAUUUAAAAUCUGGUGGUCUUUGGCCAUCCGAGUUGUAAUCUAGAGAAGUGUUACCCGCGUCGGACCGUGUACAAGUCUCCUGGAAUGGAGCGUCGUAGAGGGUGAGAAUCCCGUCUUUGGCACGGACCCCCGAGGCUUUGUGGUGCGCUCUCAAAGAGUCGAGUUGUUUGGGAAUGCAGCUCAAAAUGGGUGGUAAAUUCCAUCUAAAGCUAAAUAUUGGCGAGAGACCGAUAGCGAACAAGUACCGUGAGGGAAAGAUGAAAAGAACUUUGGAAAGAGAGUUAAACAGUACGUGAAAUUGCUGAAAGGGAAACGCUUGAAGUCAGUCGCGUUGGCCGGAAAUCAGCCUUCCUUUUGGUUGGUGUACUUUCUGGUUGACGGGCCAGCAUCAGUUUUGACCGGUGGAUAAAGUUGUGAGGAAUGUGGCAUCUUCGGGUGUGUUAUAGCCUCGCUUCGUAUACAUCGAUUGGGACUGAGGAACUCAGCACGCCGAAAGGCCGGGGUUCGCCCACGUUCGUGCUUAGGAUGCUGGCAUAAUGGCUUUAAUCGAC